rnacentral:lncRNA from 1 species
GUCAGUGUCACGUGUUCUGCCAUCGCCGCCAUGCCGUUAAAAAGGACUACGUUUCCCGGCGGCACUUGCGCUAGCGCUCGUUUGACGUCAUCGCAGCUAUAAAUCACCCGUGUCGCGCCGAUGACGAGCACUCGAGUCACUUCCGUCUUUGGGAGGCUCGACUCCAGACGAUGAGGGCGAAGUGGAGGAAGAAGCGCAUGCGCAGGCUGAAGCGCAAAAGGAGGAAGAUGAGGCAGAGGUCCAAGUGAAGUCCGGGCGGAGAAGUCCGCGGCGGCCAGCCGUCCAUCCCUGGGCAGGUCCACCGCCUUCCGGACCCAGGAAAGAUCUUCUCUGCGGACCUCGGUCCAGCUCUGCACUGUUUCCGUUUCAUACGGCCUUCAAUAAAGCGUUAUGGUUUUGAGAGAAAUAUUCCUGACUCUGACGCCGCUUUGGCAGGUUUCCGCUGAUGUUUGUUUGAAUACUGAUCACGCAGAACAACGAAUAAAUUAGUUUUGUUUUAACUGCA